GAUGAACGCUGGCGGCGUGCCUAACACAUGCAAGUCAAACGAAGCACCUUACCUGAUUCUUCGGAUGAAGGUCUGGUGACUGAGUGGCGGACGGGUGAGUAACGCGUGGGUAAUCUGCCCUGUACAGGGGGAUAACAGUGGGCAACGGCUGCUAAUACCGCAUAAGCGCACGAGAGGACAUCCUCUGGUGUGAAAAACUCCGGUGGGACAGGAUGGGCCCGCGUCUGGUUAGCUGGUUGGCAGGGUAACAGCCUACCAAGGCGACGAUUAGUAGCCGGUCUGAGAGGAUGAACGGCCACAUUGAAACUGAGACACGGUCCAAACUCCUACGGGAGGCAGCAGUGGGGAAUAUUGCACAAUGGGGGAGACCCUGAUGCAGCAACGCCGCGUGAGUGAAGAAGUAUUUCGGUAUGUAAAGCUCUAUCAGCAGGGAAGAUAAUGACGGUACCUGACUAAGAAGCUCCGGCUAAAUACGUGCCAGCCGCCGCGGUAAAAC
rnacentral:rRNA from 1 species